rnacentral:lncRNA from 1 species
UCUUUUCUCAGUUUAAUGUUAUAUCUCCUGAAAAGUGUUAUCUCAUAUAAAUAAUUGCAUGGUAGAGGCUUUGUGAGUUUCAUGAAUUUGUACAUGGUCGGUUUUCCAAUUCAUUCUGCAUAUUAGAUUCAUCCUUCAAAAAUAAACCCUUCCGUCAUGUUGCCCAACUCAGAGGUUUUAGUGGGCUUCAUUUCCUAUGAAGCACUGAU